rnacentral:rRNA from 1 species
AGUCGACGAUGAAUCUUCUAGCUUGCUAGAAGUGGAUUAGUGGCGCACGGGUGAGUAAUGCAUAGGUUAUGUGCCCUUUAGUCUGGGAUAGCCACUGGAAACGGUGAUUAAUACUGGAUACUCCCUACGGGGGAAAGUUUUUCGCUAAAGGAUCAGCCUAUGUCCUAUCAGCUUGUUGGUGAGGUAAUGGCUCACCAAGGCUAUGACGGGUAUCCGGCCUGAGAGGGUGAUCGGACACACUGGAACUGAGACACGGUCCAGACUCCUACGGGAGGCAGCAGUAGGGAAUAUUGCUCAAUGGGGGAAACCCUGAAGCAGCAACGCCGCGUGGAGGAUGAAGGUUUUAGGAUUGUAAACUCCUUUUGUUAGAGAAGAUUAUGACGGUAUCUAACGAAUAAGCACCGGCUAACUCCGUGCCAGCAGCCGCGGUAAUACGGAGGGUGCAAGCGUUACUCGGAAUCACUGGGCGUAAAGAGUGCGUAGGCGGGGUAAUAAGUCAGAUGUGAAAUCCUGUAGCUUAACUACAGAACUGCAUUUGAAACUGUUACUCUGGAGUGUGGGAGAGGUAGGUGGAAUUCUUGGUGUAGGGGUAAAAUCCGUAGAGAUCAAGAGGAAUACUCAUUGCGAAGGCGACCUGCUGGAACAUUACUGACGCUGAUGCACGAAAGCGUGGGGAGCAAACAGGAUUAGAUACCCUGGUAGUCCACGCCCUAAACGAUGGAUGCUAGUUGUUGCCUUGCUUGUCAGGGCAGUAAUGCAGCUAACGCAUUAAGCAUCCCGCCUGGGGAGUACGGUCGCAAGAUUAAAACCCAAAGGAAUAGACGGGGACCCGCACAAGCGGUGGAGCAUGUGGUUUAAUUCGAAGAUACGCGAAGAACCUUACCUAGGCUUGACA